GAGUGUGAAGUGAUUACAAUCAGACCGUACAGCGCCGAUAAGCUGGUAACCGUUGGAUAUGAGUUACAGGGGGGGGGGGGGGGGGGGGCUGGAAUAUACUGUAAGUAUGUAGGCCACAAUUUGGCAACAAACAAAGAUACAUAUUCAAGAAAAGGCUGUACAAACAUCAGACAAAAACAAAAACACACUCGAUUUAAAACUUUAGUACUAAAGCUACAGAGUUGAAAAUAUGUUUAUUGUCAUUUUUUUUCUUCUUUUUUUUUUUU